rnacentral:rRNA from 1 species
GAUGAACGCUAGCGACAGGCUUAACACAUGCAAGUCGAGGGGCAGCAUAAAAGUAGCAAUACUUUGGUGGCGACCGGCGCACGGGUGAGUAACGCGUAUGCAACCUACCUAUCAGAGGGGAAUAACCCGGCGAAAGUCGGACUAAUACCGCAUAAAACAGGGGCACCGCAUGGUGAUAUUUGUUAAAGAAAUUCGCUGAUAGAUGGGCAUGCGUUCCAUUAGGUAGUUGGUGAGGUAACGGCUCACCAAGCCGACGAUGGAUAGGGGAACUGAGAGGUUGGUCCCCCACGCUGGUACUGAGACACGGACCAGACUCGUACGGGAGGCAGCAGUGAGGAAUAUUGGUCAAUGGGCGAGAGCCUGAACCAGCCAAGUCGCGUGAAGGAAGAAGGAUCUAUGGUUCGUAAACUUCUUUUGCAGGGGAAUAAAGUGCGGGACGUGUCCUGUUUUGUAUGUACCCUGAGAAUAAGGAUCGGCUAACUCCGUGCCAGCCGCCGCAGUAA